AGAGUUUGAUCCUGGCUCAGAACGAACGCUGGCGGCGUGCUUAACACAUGCAAGUCGCGUGCGCAGUUUCCGUAGCAAUACGGAGAUGGGCGCACGGCGCACGGGUGCGUAACACGUGGGCAAUCUGCCCUUUGAUGGGGAAUAACCCGCCGAAAGGCGGGCUAAUUCCGCAUAAGAUUCUUUGGACUUCGGUCUGGAGAUUGAAAGCAGCAAUGCGUCGAAGGAGGAGCCCGCGCCCGAUUAGCUAGUUGGUGAGGUAACGGCUCACCAAGGCUAUGAUCGGUAGCUGGUCUGAGAGGAUGAUCAGCCACACUGGAACUGAGACACGGUCCAGACUCCUACGGGAGGCAGCAGUGGGGAAUCUUGCACAAUGGGCGAAAGCCUGAUGCAGCGACGCCGCGUGGGGGAUGAAGCAUUUCGGUGUGUAAACCCCUUUCGACUGGGAAGAAUACCUCGCAAGAGGGGUGACGGUACCAGUAGAAGAAGCCCCGGCUAACUACGUGCCAGCAGCCGCGGUAAGACGUAGGGGGCCAGCGUUGUUCGGAAUUACUGGGUGUAAAGGGUUCGUAGGCGGUGCGGCAAGUUGGGAGUGAAAUCUCUGGGCUUAACCCAGAGGCUGCUUCCAAAACUGCUGUGCUCGAGUGUGAGAGAGGCUCGUGGAAUUGCAGGUGUAGCGGUGAAAUGCGUAGAUAUCUGCAGGAACACCCGUGGCGAAAGCGGCGAGCUGGAUCACUACUGACGCUGAGGAACGAAAGCUAGGGGAGCAAACAGGAUUAGAUACCCUAGUAGUCC
rnacentral:rRNA from 1 species